CACACACACAGAUAACGAUACAGAGAGACACAGAGAGAGGGAUGAGAGAGAGACUGCAAUAUUUGCAGCACAAAGUAGAAGUCACAAAUUCAUGCAUCACGGAAAGCAUCUCUCUCUCUCUCUCUCUCUCUUUCUCUCUUUCUCUCUCUCUCUCUCUCUCCCUCUCUCUCUCUUUCUCUCUCUCUCUCUUUCUCUCUCACGCCACGCUGCAUUAUGAUGGCGGUGAUGGAUUUGGGAGUUUGCUGCGUGAGGCGUGCCCAUCCCAAGCCCUACCGAAAAACAACUCAGAGGAGAAUGAUCACAGUAUUCCACACUUGAUGUACAAAAAUACAUUUAUUUGAAACAAGUUCAAAAUGACAUUUGUUUUGUUGUUUUGUAACUGUAGAAAUAUGGAAAUCAAGAUUUAAAACAGAAAGAGCAAUCAUGACACAUGCAUUGGUAAACUGGUGCCUGAUGGGAAGAGAAAGUAAAAAAAAAAAAAAAAGACAGUACAAUGGUUUGCCCUUGGAACACAUUGUCAAAAGAAAGUCUAUCCCUUAGUCGCAAAUUAAUCUUCAUAUCAAGCUCCACCAUCUUAAUUUCGUGAAACAUUUUCAAGUUAUAGUCAGAUUGGUACAACAUAUGCUCUGAGCGACGCAAUGAGAGUCUACUGAGCCGGAGCAAAUUAAAUCAGAUAGGGGCGGGAUGAACAUGCGAGAUAACCACACUCAACUGUCGAGAAAAAAAAAAGAAAGAAUGUGGGGAAAAAAUAAGUCACAACAAGGGAGGGCUCCCUCCAGAAAAUAGUUCUAUCUUGGAACCAAUGGCAAUUCAGCCAAGAGGGAAAAAAAAGGACAGAGAAGAGAGAGAGAGAGAGAGAGAUUUGACAUGGUAGCAAUUAUACGUUAGCCCAUUAGCUUUGGCUAAAACAAAGGAAAGUGUCAGUCACGUCUCGUCGCCACCAAUUAACUGACACAACCCUGGCAAAACACGGUGGUUUGACUAGGCCAGCAUAUGUAAGAGACACUGAACAUUCAUCUUUCAGCGGCAGAGCUUCGCCUGUGUUGGCCACACUGUGGCUUACUGUAUUUAGCAAGGAAAGGGUCGUAAAGAAAUGAUAGCGUAGUCCUGAAUGCCAGCAAUCUUUACAUGAUAAAGUUAGCGUGACAUAAAGCUAACAACUCAGCUCAUCCCGGCGACCCAUGUCAAAAAAUAACACUGAGGGUCUCUUUUCUUCUGGGCUAAGUACAAUAAUUGUCAGGAAAAAAAAGCCCUCCCGAGUGACUCAGAGGAGGAGAGGCCAUUAGACUGAAAAAAAACAAAAAACAAAAUUGCGUUUGACAGAAUGACAGCCAGUGGCACUAGGGCGGCGGCCAUUUGAAGGUGGCAUUUUAACAAGGGCGAGAGAGUGCAGGAUCACUGAGGUGGUCAAAUGGUGAGGGGGUGGACCCUCGGUCUCUGUAACUUUGCGCCGACCUCAGCGGGUUUUCCACAGGUUCGACCACGGGGGGGCUCUGUUAAUGAGCCUUUUCACCGGACUCGCCGUCACGCAGAGUUUCAAAAUGCAUGGCAACACCUGAGGGAGCCUGCAACAGCUGGAUAUCAGCACUUUUGAAGAAAAAAAAACAUAAAAAAUAUAAAUCCAAAUAAACCAAAAGAAAAGUCGAAAUGGAGGAAGCGAGAGCACACUGCUCUGCGUUAAAAGGAACAUUGUGUUUGUGUGUCCGCUGGGG
ensembl:lncRNA